rnacentral:pre_miRNA from 1 species
UGGACAAAUUAUUGUAUUCGACUGUAUUCACGCGCGUGAAACAUGAGAUUACACUGUUUUUAAACGGAAAGUGAAUCAAUUAACAUAAUAGACUCCU